rnacentral:snRNA from 1 species
AUUUCUUCUCUGCCUUUUGUCUAAGAUCAAGUGUAGUAUCUGUUCUUAUGAGUUUUCCAUCAGGGUACCACCAAUCCCCACUGAUGGAAUGGAGAAUCACUUGAUCGUUGCCAAGGGCCCGGGAAUAGGGUUGCCGACCGGUUGAUGUUUUACUGGCCUUGCCGGUAAAACACCUGCCAAGGCCAGGGCCGGUAUUACAGAUUUACUGGCAAUGUAGCUGCUGAUA